UACGUAGGGGGCAAGCGUUGUCCGGAUUUAUUGGGCGUAAAGAGCGUGUAGGCGGCCUGACAGGUCUGCUGUGAAAACUCGAGGCUCAACCUCGAGAUGUCGGCGGAAACCGUCUGGCUAGAGUCCGGAAGAGGAGAGUGGAAUUCCUGGUGUAGCGGUGAAAUGCGCAGAUAUCAGGAAGAACACCUAUGGCGAAGGCAGCUCUCUGGGCAUUAACUGACGCUGAGGAGCGAAAGCAUGGGGAGCGAACAGG
rnacentral:rRNA from 1 species